AGUGCAUGUGGUGGAUGCCUUGGCAGUCAGAGGCGAUGAAAGACGUGAUAGCCUGCGAAAAGCUCCGGGGAGGCGGCAAAUAUCCUUUGAUCCGGAGAUGUCUGAAUGGGGGAACCCACCUACUUUAAGGUAGGUAUUGCAACAUGAAUACAUAGUGUUGCAAGGCGAACGAGGGGAAGUGAAACAUCUCAGUACCCUUAGGAAAAGAAAUCAAUUGAGAUUCCCUCAGUAGCGGCGAGCGAACGGGGAUCAGCCCAUUAAGUUAUGUGUGUUUUAGUGGAACGCUCUGGGAAGUGCGAACGUAGAGGGUGAUAUUCCCGUACACGAAAGGGCACACAUAAUGAUGACGAGUAGGGCGAGGCACGUGAAACCUUGUCUGAAUAUGGGGGGACCAUCCUCCAAGGCUAAAUACUCCUGACUGACCGAUAGUGAACCAGUACCGUGAGGGAAAGGCGAAAAGAACCCCUGUGAGGGGAGUGAAAUAGAUCCUGAAACCGCAUGCAUACAAGCAGUGGGAGCACCUUCGUGGUGUGACUGCGUACCUUUUGUAUAAUGGGUCAGCGACUUAUAUUCAGUAGCGAGGUUAACCGUAUAGGGGAGCCGUAGAGAAAUCGAGUCUUAAUAGGGCGUUUAGUUGCUGGGUAUAGACCCGAAACCAGGCGAUCUAUCCAUGAGCAGGUUGAAGGUUGGGUAACACUAACUGGAGGACCGAACCCACUGUCGUUGAAAAGCCAGGGGAUGACUUGUGGAUAGGGGGGAAAGGCUAAUCAAGCCUGGUGAUAGCUGGUUCUCCCCGAAAGCUAUUUAGGUAGCGCCUCGGACGAAUACCAUAGGGGGUAGAGCACUGUUUCGGCUAGGGGGUCAUCCCGACUUACCAAACCGAUGCAAACUCCGAAUACCUAUGAGUACUAUCCGGGAGACAGACUGCGGGUGCUAACGUCCGUAGUCAAGAGGAAAACAAUCCAGACCGCCAGCUAAGGCCCCAAAAUCAUAGUUAAGUGGGAAACGAUGUGGGAAGGCAUAGACAGCUAGGAGGUUGGCUUAGAAGCAGCCACCCUUUAAAGAAAGCGUAAUAGCUCACUAGUCGAGUCGGCCUGCGCGGAAGAUGUAACGGGGCUAAAACUAUGUGCCGAAGCUGCGGAUUUGACAUUAGUCAAGUGGUAGGGGAGCGUUCUGUAAGCCGAUGAAGGUGUGUUGAGAAGUAUGCUGGAGGUAUCAGAAGUGCGAAUGCUGACGUGAGUAACGACAAAACGGGUGAAAAACCCGUUCGCCGAAAGACCAAGGGUUCCAGUCCAACGUUAAUCGGGGCUGGGUGAGUCGACCCCUAAGGCGAGGCCGAAAGGCGUAGUCGAUGGGAAAUUGGUUAAUAUUCCAUUACUUCUGUGUAAUGCGAUGAGAGGACGGAGAAGGCUAAAUCAGCCUGGCGUUGGUUGUCCAGGUGAAAGGAUGUAGGCAUGUAUCUUAGGCAAAUCCGGGGUACUCUAUGCUGAGAUCUGAUAGCAAGCUGUACUUGUACAGCGAAGUGGUUGAUGCCAUGCUUCCAGGAAAAGUCUCUAAGCUUCAGUUACACAGGAAUCGUACCCGAAACCGACACAGGUGGUCAGGUCGAGUAGACCAAGGCGCUUGAGAGAACUCUGCUGAAGGAACUAGGCAAAAUGGUACCGUAACUUCGGGAGAAGGUACGCUGUUGUUGGUGAUGGAACUCGCUUCCUGAGCUGACGACAGCCGCAGAAACCAGGCCGCUGCAACUGUUUAUUAAAAACAUAGCACUCUGCAAACACGAAAGUGGACGUAUAGGGUGUGAUGCCUGCCCGGUGCUGGAAGGUUAAUUGAUGGGGUUAGCGUAAGCGAAGCUCUUGAUCGAAGCCCCAGUAAACGGCGGCCGUAACUAUAACGGUCCUAAGGUAGCGAAAUUCCUUGUCGGGUAAGUUCCGACCUGCACGAAUGGCAUAAUGAUGGCGGCGCUGUCUCCAGCAGAGGCUCAGUGAAAUCGAAAUCGCUGUGAAGAUGCAGUGUCCCCGCGGCUAGACGGAAAGACCCCGUGAACCUUUACUGCAGCUUGACACUGAACUUUGACCUUACUUGUGUAGGAUAGGUGGGAGGCUUUGAAGCUGGAACGCUAGUUCCAGUGGAGCCGUCCUUGAAAUACCACCCUGGUAAUGUUGAGGUUCUAACUCUGUCCCGUGAUCCGGGACGAGGACCGUGUCUGGUGGGUAGUUUGACUGGGGCGGUCUCCUCCUAAAGAGUAACGGAGGAGUACGAAGGUGCGCUCAGCGUGGUCGGAAAUCACGCGUAGAGUAUAAAGGCAAAAGCGCGCUUAACUGCGAGACCCACAAGUCGAGCAGGUACGAAAGUAGGUCUUAGUGAUCCGGUGGUUCUGUAUGGAAGGGCCAUCGCUCAACGGAUAAAAGGUACUCUGGGGAUAACAGGCUGAUACCGCCCAAGAGUUCAUA
rnacentral:rRNA from 1 species